rnacentral:rRNA from 1 species
UACGUAGGGUCCGAGCGUUGUCCGGAUUUAUUGGGCGUAAAGAGCUCGUAGGCGGUUCCGUAAGUCAGAUGUGAGAACUCAGGGCUCAACCCGGAGACGCCAUCUGAUACUGCGGUGACUGGAGUCUGGUAGGGGAACACGGAAUUCCUGGUGUAGCGGUGAAAUGCGCAGAUAUCAGGAGGAACACCGAUGGCGAAGGCAGUGUUCUAGGCCAGUACUGACGCUGAGGAGCGAAAGCGUGGGGAGCAAACAGG